GAUGAACGCUGGCGGCGUGCCUAACACAUGCAAGUCGAACGGAAAGGCCCUGCUUUUGCGGGGCGCUCGAGUGGCGAACGGGUGAGUAACACGUGAGUAUCCUGCCCCUGUCUUUGGGAUAUCUUCAGGAAACUGGGGCUAAUACCGGAUAGGAGCUCCUGCAGCACGUGGGGGGUUGGAAAGUUUCGGCGGUUGUGGAUCGACUGGCGGCUUAUGAGCUUGUUGGUGGGGUAGUGGCGUACCAAGGCUUCGACGGAUAGCCGGCAUGAGAGGGUGGCCAGGCACAAGACGACUGAGAUACGGAGCAGACUGGUACGGGAGGCAACAGUGGAGAGUAUGACACAACAGGGCGGAGCGUGUGGCGAAGGCGUCGCGUGCGGGAAGACGGCCUUCGAGGGGUAAACCGCUGUCGCAUGUGACGAAGCGGGAGUGACGGUAAUGGGUAAAGAAGCACCGGCUAACUACGUG
rnacentral:rRNA from 1 species